CACGUAGGGUGCGAGCGUUGUCCGGAAUUAUUGGGCGUAAAGAGCUCGUAGGCGGUGUGUCGCGUCGGCCGUGAAAACCUGCAGCUUAACUGUGGGCUUGCGGUCGAUACGGGGCAUCACUGGAGUUCGGCAGGGGAGACUGGAAUUCCUGGUGUAGCGGUGAAAUGCGCAGAUAUCAGGAGGAAUACCGGUGGGCGAAGGCGGGUCUCUGGGCCGAAUACUG
rnacentral:rRNA from 1 species